AGGAGAAGGAGCAGCCCUGCAUGUAAGGAGGACGGAAGCGCGGCAACCAUCUGGACAACUGCUCGCUUAGGGACGUCGGUACAUACUACCAGCGGCGCCGCCAAGUAGCGUCCGUUCACUUUGCCUUCGCCAGUGUGAACUAAGUCUGCUGCUGUUGUUGCAAUUUGGAAAAUGCCGAGGAAGAAAAUAAGGUGCCAAUGCAUGCUGAAAUCACUUCAGAACAAUGAUCAUCCGGGUGGUUGCUUCAUCUGUUGCAAGCUCCUUUCCAUUCCGCAUAACCUAAAUAAAAAAAUUAAGUAAUAAAACAUUUACUAAAUUAUUCAUAGAAAACAAAGCUUGGAUAUCAAGAUGUACUAUACUGGUGGAUAAAACAAUCAACCGUUACACCACAUUGCUAAAAGCUGAGAUCACGGCCCAAACUCAAAAAAUAGAUUAAUCACGUAAACUUACACAUCAAAAUGCAUGUACACACAUGUAUUUUCAUCGAUCUAAGUGCUAGACAGCAGCAUAUAUUGAAAUAUAGAUUGGACAGCACCAUCAAAAUUUAUGGCCAUCACUGAAGAAAAUCAGAUAGCAUAGGAAGGAAAGAGAGCAACCAAACUGAACAAACAUGAAAUAAAAUAUGGCCAUCGUUCACAUCUGAAUCUCCUAUCUAUAUAUCUCUGCUAUAACAUAUACAAGGGGAGUGGGUUAGGAUCUGUACUGGUGCCAUCGUUGCUAGCCUUCGUACAAUCCGCCGUAGCCGCUGCUGGCAUGCCACACGCCCGCCAGCCCGCUGCUACUCCAUGCCGAGAGAGGGAGAGACGAGGGGUUGUCGAGGGAGAGGUGGCCGCAAAGGCAGAGACGCAUGAGUUGUCAUUGCCGGAGCAGAUCGAGAUGGGGCGAGAGUCCAGUGGGCGGCGGCGAUGGAAUUGGGAUAGGGUUCGGG
rnacentral:lncRNA from 1 species